rnacentral:miRNA from 1 species
AUGCAUCAUCAUCAAGAUUCACAUUCAGCUAGCGCCAAUUACUGAGAAUCUUGAUGAUGCUGCAU